CUUGUACACACCGCCCGUCACACCACGAAAGUCGGCAACACCCGAAGCCAGUGGCCUAUCCGCAAGGAGGGAGCUGUCGAAGGUGGGGUCGGUGAUUGGGGUG
rnacentral:rRNA from 1 species